AUUGAACGCUGGCGGCAUGCCUUACACAUGCAAGUCGAACGGUAACAGGUCUUCGGAUGCUGACGAGUGGCGAACGGGUGAGUAAUACAUCGGAACGUGCCCGAGAGUGGGGGAUAACGAGGCGAAAGCUUUGCUAAUACCGCAUACGUUCUCAGGAUGAAAGCAGGGGAACGCAAGGCCUUGCGCUCACGGAGCGGCCGAUGGCAGAUUAGGUGGGUGGUGGGAUAAAAGCAUACCAAGCCGACGAUCUGUAGCUGGUCUGAGAGGACGACCAGCCACACUGGGACUGAGACACGGCCCAGAAUGCAACAGGAGGCAGCAGUGGGGAAUUUUGGACAAUGGGCGCAAGCCUGAUCCAGCCAUGACGCGUGCAGGAUGAGGGCCUUCUGGUUGUAAACUGCUUUUGUACGGGACGAAAAGACUCUGGUUAAUACCUGGGGUCCAUGACGGUACCGUAAGAAUAAGCACCGGCUAACUACGUGCCAGCAGCCGCGGUAAGAC
rnacentral:rRNA from 1 species